UGGACGGUACAACGAGAAGCGAACCUGCGAAGGCAAGCGGAUCUCUUAAAGCCGUUCUCAGUUCGGACUGUAGGCUGCAACUCGCCUACACGAAGCUGGAAUCGCUAGUAAUCGCGGAUCAGCACGCCGCGGUGAAUACGUUCCCGGGCCUUGUACACACCGCCCGUCAAGCCAUGGAAGCCGGGAGUGCCUGAAGUGUGCAACCGCAAGGAGCGCCCUAAGGUAAAACUGGUGACUGGGGCUAAGUCGUAACAAGGUACC
rnacentral:rRNA from 1 species